rnacentral:tRNA from 1 species
GGAAAUAUAGCUCAGUUGGUAGAGCACCUCCUUCAUACGGAGAUUGUCACAAGUUCGAAUCUUGUUAUUUCCACCA